rnacentral:rRNA from 1 species
UUGGCUUAGAAGCAGCCAUCCUUGAAAGAGUGCGUAAUAGCUCACUGGUCAAGUGGUUCUGCGCCGACAAUGUAGCGGGGCUCAAGCGUACCGCCGAAGCUGUGGCAACAACACGCGAUGCUGGCGCCAGGAACUGGAGUGCUGGUGUGUUGUUGGGUAGGGGAGCGUCCUGCACGAGGUGAAGCCUGGAGGGAACUUCUGGUGGAUUGUGUGGGAGUGAGAAUGCAGGCAUGAGUAACGAAUCUGCGGUGAGAAUCCGCAGCGCCGAUUGACUAAGGGUUCCAGGGCUAGGUUUAUCCGCCCUGGGUUAGUCGGGUCCUAAGGCGAGGCCGACAGGCGUAGUCGAUGGACAACCAGUUGAUAUUCUGGUACCGCGUUAUGACCGCCCAUGCUGAAGUCAUUGUGCUAACCAAUUUGCUCACACCACCUGUAAGCCUUCGGGUUUGUUGGUGUGUGUGGGUCUUGGGGCCCCGGUGAUUGUAGGCAAGCGUGUUAACAGGGGUGACGCAGACAGGUAGCUGCAGUGCGCCGAUGGUUGUGCGUAUUUAAGGUUGUGGCCCGCCUCCCAGGUAAAUCCGGGGGGCAUGUGGGUGAGAACUGAUGAGGGACACACGCGUGUGUGGACUUGUGGUGAUCCUAAGCUGCCGAGAAAAGCCUCGACGUGAGGGCAUAACGCGCCCGUACCCUAAACCGACUCAGGUGGUCAGGUAGAGUAUACCGAGGCGUUCGAGUGAAUCGUGGUUAAGGAACUCGGCAAAAUUCCUCCGUAACUUCGGGAUAAGGAGGACCCCGUGACUUCCCAACGCUUUGCGUGUUGGUGGGGUUGUGGGGUCGCAGAGAAUAGGGAGAAGCGACUGUUUAUCAAAAACACAGGUGCGUGCGAAGCCGUAAGGCGAUGUAUACGCACUGACGCCUGCCCGGUGCUGGAAGGUUAAGAGGAACCGUCAACAUCCCUUUGUGGGUGUGAAGCGGUGAAUUUAAGCCCCAGUAAACGGCGGUGGUAACUAUAACCAUCCUAAGGUAGCGAAAUUCCUUGUCGGGUAAGUUCCGACCUGCACGAAUGGCGUAACGACUUCUCCGCUGUCUCAACCGCGAACUCGGUGAAAUUGCAGUACGAGUAAAGAUGCUCGUUUCGCGCAGAAGGACGGAAAGACCCCGGGACCUUUACUAUAGCUUGGUAUUGGUGUUCGCUUGGACUUGUGUAGGAUAGGUGGGAGACUGUGAAGCUGCCGCGCCAGCGGUGGUGGAGUCGUCGUUGAAAUACCAUUCUGGUUCAAGCGGUCACCUCAACCUUGGCCCGUGAUCCGGGUUGGGGACAGUGCCUGGUGGGUAGUUUAACUGGGGCGGUUGCCUCCUAAAAUGUAACGGAGGCGCUCAAAGGUUCCCUCAGCCUGGUUGGUAAUCAGGUGGCGAGUGCAAGUGUACAAGGGAGCUUGACUGUGAGACCGACGGGUCGAGCAGGUGCGAAAGCAGGAACUAGUGAUCCGGCCAUGGCACGUGGGUGCGUGGUCGCUCAACGGAUAAAAGGUACCCCGGGGAUAACAGGCUGAUCUUGCCCAAGAGUCCAUAUCGACGGCAUGGUUUGGCA